AAAGGUGUGCUAAUACCGCAUAAUCUCUCAGGAGAAAAGCAGGGGAUCGCAAGACCUUGCGCUUUAGGAGCGGCCGAUGCCUGAUUAGCUUGUUGGUAAGGUAAAAGCUUACCAAGGCUUCGAUCAGUAGCUGGUCUGAGAGGACGACCAGCCACACUGGGACUGAGACACGGCCCAGACUCCUACGGGAGGCAGCAGUGGGGAAUUUUGGACAAUGGGGGAAACCCUGAUCCAGCCAUGCCGCGUGAGUGAAGAAGGCCUUCGGGUUGUAAAGCUCUUUCAGCCGGAACGAAACGGUUACGAUUAAUACUCGUAAUUAAUGACGGUACCGGCAGAAGAAGCACCGGCUAACUACGUGCCAGCAGCCGCGGUAAUACGUAGGGUGCGAGCGUUAAUCGGAAUUACUGGGCGUAAAGGGUCCGCAGGUUGUUUUGUAAGUCAGAUGUGAAAGCCCCGGGCUUAACCUGGGAACUGCGUCUGAAACUACAAGGCUAGAGUAUGGCAGAGGGGGGUGGAAUUCCGCGUGUAGCAGUGAAAUGCGUAGAUAUGUGGAGGAACACCGAUGGCGAAGGCAGCCCCCUGGGUCAAUACUGACGCUGAGGGACGAAAGCAUGGGGAGCAAACAGGAUUAGAUACCCUGGUAGUCCAUGCCCUAAACGAUGUCAACUAGUUGUCGGGCCUUUACGGGCUUGGUAACGUAGCUAACGCGUGAAGUUGACCGCCUGGGGAGUACGAUCGCAAGAUUAAAACUCAAAUGAAUUGACGGGGACCCGCACAAGCGGUGGAUUAUGUGGAUUAAUUCGAUGCAACGCGAAAAACCUUACCUACCCUUGACAUGUAUCGAAGCCCGCAGAAAAGCGGAGGUGCCCGAAAGGGAACGAUAACACAGGUGCUGCAUGGCUGUCGUCAGCUCGUGUCGUGAGAUGUUGGGUUAAGUCCCGCAACGAGCGCAACCCUUGUCAUUAAUUGCCAUCAUUUAGUUGGGCACUUUAAUGAGACUGCCGGUGACAAACCAGAGGAAGGUGGGGAUGACGUCAAGUCCUCAUGGCCCUUA
rnacentral:rRNA from 1 species